rnacentral:rRNA from 1 species
GACGAACGCUGGCGGCGUGCUUAACACAUGCAAGUCGAACGAUGAAGCGGUGCUUGCACCGUGGAUUAGUGGCGAACGGGUGAGUAAUACGUGAGUGACCUACCUUUGACUCCGGGAUAAGCCUGGGAAACUGGGUCUAAUACCGGAUACGACCAAUCUCUGCAUGGGGUGUUGGUGGAAAGCGUUAUGGAGUGGUUUUAGAUGGGCUCACGGCCUAUCAGCUUGUUGGUGAGGUAAUGGCUUACCAAGGCGACGACGGGUAGCCGGCCUGAGAGGGUGACCGGCCACACUGGGACUGAGACACGGCCCAGACUCCUACGGGAGGCAGCAGUGGGGAAUAUUGCACAAUGGGCGCAAGCCUGAUGCAGCGACGCCGCGUGAGGGAUGACGGCCUUCGGGUUGUAAACCUCUGUUAGCAUCGAAGAAGCGAAAGUGACGGUAGGUGCAGAGAAAGCGCCGGCUAACUACGUG